rnacentral:sRNA from 1 species
UUUUAGCCCAGAUAGUAGUGGAAAGCUUUUUGAAAGCUGUUUUUUGAUUUUAUAAUUAGGGAAAAGCGACCAAAGGAAGCUUUUGCAAUAAUUGUAUAAAAUCUAAACAGAUAAAAAAACUUGCAACGAAAAGCUGGAUUAGCU